rnacentral:lncRNA from 1 species
GCUGGAGCAGUGCCAGAGAGGGGCCGUGCUCCCCAGGAGAUCCAAGGGCAGGUGUCUGCAGCCCUGGGCCUGCCCCCAGCCCCAGACAGGAGAGUGGCUCUGGCGAGGCUGGCAGGUCUCUGGUGCUGGGCAAACCCUCCCAGGCUCUCUCUUGCCCGGCUCUGCAGUGGGGAGAGCCCCCAGGCGUGAGCAGCCCCAGCCACGCUCCCAGACCUGGCUCUGCUGUGUCAUUUCCCUGCUGCUCACUUGUCUCACCUGUCCCCAGGGAUGGGUGACACUUCCCAGGGCGCUGGGGGAGGAAGCCUCGGUCGGUUUUGUACAGUGCUUUGAAGCUCCUUCAGGUCCUGGAAGGCCACAGUGAUGUCACCCCAGAGCUUCUGUUUUCCAGGCACCACUGGCAUCGACCACGGAGAAGUUUACAGAGCCAGCAAACAGCUGGGGUUACACGGGUGUAAUUGAGGGCAAAAUCUGCCCUGACAUAUCCGAGUGCCUUUUCAGAAAGAAGAUAUAAUUCUACAUGAAAAUGCUCAGAUGCCCGGGAAGAAUGUGUGACUUUCUUUACAGCCAUGUGAUUUAUUUUGCUGGCCUGUGGAGGAGAGGUGAGGUUCAUGUUAAAUAACAAGUUUGCUCUGUUUUCAGCUCUGGUA